GAUAAAUCCUUGAGUGAAGUUUCAAAUUUUAGCAUGUACAACUUAAAUGCAUUGCAAAAUGAGACAUGUUUCUAUUGUAAUUUAUGCUGCAUAAAGUUUUGUGGUGAAGUUUUAGGUUGCUUCAGUGUAGUUUUUAUUUAUGUGACUUGUGCAACUUGACAUAGUAAUAUAGUCUGUUUUAUCAGGUGUGCUAGUAUUCAUUAGAUUUACAGUAUGAAUCUAAUGCUGGGUACAAACUUAGUUUGUCUCACUGUUCUAGAACCAUGGAAUAAUGAACACUCUCACUGAAAUGAAUGCUUUAAAUAUUUUAAUUUUUGUUAAAUAAUUCCUGGUGAAAAUGUAUUGAAGUCUCUGUUUUCUUAAAUAUAAUAGGGCUUCUUUGAUGACAUGUUCAUUGUAUACUGUUGUUUAUUUAUGAUUCUAUAAUUCUAGCAGGGUUGAUGACUCUGAUACAUUAAAACCUCAGACUACUAUAUAGUCUUGGCUUCUCUUCAUCUGUUUCCAGACUCUCUUUUCUGUGGCCUCCAUGAAUAGGAAUGUCCACUCAUUAAAUCCGUACCUAAUUCUUUAUUUCCUCUUAGACUAAAGGCAGCUUAUUUUAGCCCAGUAGUCUGGUCCUGUAGCCCUACAUUCUUAUAAAGGCAUCAUUAAACAUCAGAGAGUCUGCAUACACAAGCUUAGGUAGCUUGAGUCGGUUAUCAACUUGUCCUCUUUUUUUUUUUUAAAUAUUUAUUUAUUUAUUUUAGUUUUCGGCGGACACAACAUCUUUGUUUGUAUGUGGUGCUGAGGAUCGAACCCGGGCCGCACGCAUGCCAGGCGAGCACGCUACCGCUUGAGCCACAUCCCCAGCCCUCAACUUGUCCUCUUGAUGCAACCAGGAGAUGCAGUAAACACAAGAUGUGUGAGGUUGCUAUUGGCAUAACAGUAGACUUGUAUACUUUAAAACAACAACAAAGCAUAGUAUAGUAAAUAUAUAAACCAUUAAAGUUAUUAUUAUUACUGUGCAUAAUGUAUGUGCUAUACUUUACUAUAUUUUUUCUUUUGCAAUGCUGGGGAUCAAACCUUGGGCCAUAUGCAUGCCUGCAUGCACUCUACCACUGAGCUACAUCCCCAGCCCUGUGCUGAUUUUUAUAUGAUUGGUAGAACAAUAGGUUUGUUUAUACCAGCAUCAUCACAAACACGUGAAGAAUGCAUUGUGUUAGCAUGUCUGUGAUGUCACUGUUGUGUAUGAAAUUUGUUGUUGGCCAAGAUAUUAUUAUGUGAUGUAUGAUUUUAUUUUCAUGUUCUGUUUUGGACUCUGUGGUAGAUGUUUUAUGCUUAGAUGUGCAGGGCAGGAAGAGGAGGAAAAUGAAAGAUUUUAGUGAAUACAGAAUGGAGAAGAAAUAUGUCAAUAUUUCCAAUAAUCGUUCAGCCAUUUAUUUCAGAUCACUCAGAUGAUUUCAAAUGAACUUUGGAAUUAUGAGGAAAUAUCAGUGGGAUCUUCUAACACAGAAGUAACGGAAGG
rnacentral:lncRNA from 1 species